ACAAGGAUUUGUGCUAUUCUAAACGUAACAAAGAGACGUGGCACCAUAGAGCCUUCAUCUUUGUCCCAUGCGCAUUAGAUCUUUAGGUCAUAGUCAUAAGCUCAUUCAAAGAGUGGAAAACCCCAUAACUGAAUCAACGACAUCAAACCUAAUUUCAAAAAUCAGGAUGAACAGAAAUAAAUCUCAUCUUCCCCACUAUGAUCCUCUUUACACCCAAAAAUUAGGAGAAUUCUACUCCUUGCGAUCAGGAUUGAUUAGGGUCGAAUCGAUUCUUUCUAAUUAUAUGUAAAGGAACUGUUGCAGGACAUCACCUUGAAGCUUCUAUCUGAUGUCUCUAAGAAACCACGAAUUUUCCUGUUGGCUUACAUUGCUGCUGACAAGGAGCUUUGAGAUUACUCAUGGAUUUCAAUAGUCUACCAGAUAAAUGGUUAGAUUGUUCCCUUCUCUUUUGCCCACUAGUCAAUUAUUUGAUUUGAUUCUUAUUCUAGGUUUCUUAGAAGCAACAGUUUUUCCAUCAACAUCUAUCGUCUUAUCUUGUAACUUGUAAGGCAAUGAAUAUCUGUAUUCCUAGCGGUAAAAGAGCUAAGGUAGGAGCCUCGAGUUUUAAUUGAUUGUUUAUUUGGUAUUUCUGAAAUCCUCUCUUUUUAAUAUUGUAAGAUUUUGAUAUCUGGCACUUGAUAGACAUGAAUGGCAGAGCGGGGUCUUUGUGGAUUAUGGAUAAUACUGGAUAUAUAUCUAGUUCAUGCAGCUGACCCCCUGAAUCAGAUUAGCGAUUAAAUCUUUGAUUUUGUUGUUCUUCAACUUCGAUAUGGAGGCUUGGUUUGCUCAUAGUGUUGUGGACUUGUAGUUAUGAUGGAGUUUCGCUUCACAAUGAGUAUGCUUGAUAAUGUAUUUGCAUUACUUCACACGAUGCCAAGAUAGUACAAUGAGUAUGCUUGAUAAUGUAUUUGCACCGAGUUUAUUAUCACAAUUGAUACAAUUAAAGAUAGUUUCCUUUUAAUGAUGGCUACUUGGCUUCUAUUGGUUUCUUUUUCUUUUUGGAUAACAGCGUAGGCUGAGGGAAGGGGAGACUAGGUGAGAUUCAAUCCCAGAACCUUGCCUAGAAAAGCCGGUACAUGUUCCAACUGAAACAAGACCUGAUUCUCGCUUCUGUUGGUUUCUUUAAUGCUGUGUGAAUCGUAAAUUGUGAAUCAUUCAUAAUUGUAAUAACUCUUUCUUCUAGCACAGAAGGAAGCCCCCUCAACCUGUCCAUUGCACCUUAUUCUAGCAACGCAAGACCUUAACCAUGGGGGCCAAAAGAGCCAGCAUCUCCCAAGAUGGUUCUGCGUGCAGAAACAUGGUAUCUGAUCCUUAAUACAGAUGGGGUUGGCUAAUUAUCUAGGAAUCUAGGUCCAUGCAUGAAGACUUCAGAAAAUUCUAGUUCAGAUUUUCUUUGUCACGGUAAUAUUGGUUUUGUGUUUUUUUGUUUUUAAAAUUACAAAACACUGAUCAUGUUAGGCGAAACUGUUUUAAAAAUCAACCUUUCUAAGUUAUGUCAUAAUGAAAACGAAAUUGCUUUGUCCACUUUUGUGAUUCUGGAGUUUCAGUUUUUCCGUUUCCAGAAUGGACAUGUCAGCAGUCAGUAUCACCGCAUAUUCUCUCUUCUCCGUCGGUGAGUUGUGAUACACUGUUUCUCAUUCUUUUCCUGAUUUGUUUGCCAAAACUGAAGCUCCUAAUUCCAGAGCCGGAUCAAAUUUAAGCAAAUUCAAUCACAAACCUCCUUAAUUCCUCAUUUCAUUCAUUUACAAUCACCCUAAUUCCAGAGUUAGCCGACAAUUUUCUUAAUUAAUCAUUUGUGCAAUUUGUGAAAAUGUGAAAGAAUAAUGAAAAAAUUUGUUGAUGAAGAAAGUCGAAUUUUAGAGUGAAAAAUAUACCGAGUUUGUGUAGGUGAUGAGAAUUAUGAAGAUGGAGAUGGGACUUGCACAGGCAUAGGCCAUAGUGGUUGAUAUUAAAAGGCACAUGUUGAUUAUGUUUGUAUUCUCUUCGAAAACCCAUUACUUUUCUAAUGCUCAUGUUAUUCAACUAAAAGAAAGCACCCUGUUUGCUCUUCAAUGUAGAAUUUCAAGUACCCUUUACUUUUUGUUUGUUCUCCUUGCAAUAUAUUGGCCAUUGGGUAUAUUUUUCAUGGGUUGUUGAUAAACAUAUCUCAACUAUGAUUACAAAACUAAAGCUUUAUUUUCUCAUCUUCCUACAUCUUUCCCUCUUCUUUUUUCAAUUUGAUUUAGUUUUUGAUUUGGGAUCCUACUUGCUGUAGUGGUCGAACAUCAAUAUGAUGAUAAAGAUUAAAGACAAACGAACCUUAUCGUUUAGAAAGCACUAUAUUUGAUCUUCAUUUGAGCGAUGGUACCACUGGAUUUGGAUGAACAAUAGUUAUGUCAUCCUUUUUUGAAUUAUAGGGUAGGUCGAGGAAAAUUUACAUUUUGUUUCUUGGAGAAUUUAUGGUCAAUUUGAAUAUAUAGUUGUAUUCCUAUACACUAUGAAAAAAUGGUUGUCGGUUUUUUUUUCAACAAAACAAAAUGGAAAAACUCCAUGGAGUAAUGCAACUUUUCAUCAAUUUUUUAAAAAUAAUCUCAACUUUUGAUUAAUCUUGAAUAAUCUGACCUUUGAGGUAUGUUGCCCAAGAAUGUUGUUUUUAUAUAUAUUACGUGUUGAAAUUAUUUUUAUAAAUUAUUUCUCUACCUCUCCCAUGCCUCCAUUGAAGCACCCUGUUUCCAAGCUUAAGGUGGUAGAGGCAAUUUUCCUUUUGGUAUCACGCCAUUGUAUCUUCUUCUCCCUCUUCUCCCAAUUUCUUUCCUCUUGAGUAUAGAACAAAAAUGAGAAUGGACUAAAUUUGUAAACCCCCAUUAAAAAAAGACUUUCUUUGAGUUUUCUUCGUGAAAUUGUAUGAAAUGUUAAUCUUUUCCCCAAUUUGAUUAGGAACAAAGACCAAAAGCGUAAAAUAAUAAUGAACAAAGCAUAAAUUACAAAAUUAUUUGAUUUUAGAUUAUGAUAGAUUAUGAUAGACUAUGAUAGACUAUAAUAUUAGGGCUCAUUAAAUUAUGUGCACUUUAUUAAUGUGAAGUUGCAAAUGAUGUUUGUUAUUAAGGGUUGAUCGGAAGCAACUUUUUUGUUAUUACGAGCAAGAGUAAGGUUGUAUAUAUCGGACUUCUCCAAACCCGAUCUAGAUUGGGAGACCAUUAAUGACAUUGUGUAAUGGAAUGCUGUAAAAUCAUACUCAGCUAAUGAGUCAAAAAACACAUCCCAAUUUUAUUACAUAAUGAUUCGAUGAAUAUUUCUUACCCUUUCUUCCCUCUAUUUAAUUUCUUCAUUUCUUAUUUCUUAAGCUAAUAAUUACUAAUUACUACUCCCUCCGUUCCUUUUUGAUCUUCACAUUACUAUAACGGGUAGUUUCAAAAGUUUUUCCACUUUAGAAUACUUACUAUUUUUAGAAAGCUUUUAUCUCACUUUUACCCCUUAAAAUCCCCCUUUUCUUUUAAUGUACCCAUUUUCUUUUAUUUAUAAUUAUUUUCUCUCUCAUACUUCCAAUAUAAUCAUUACUUCACACUACUAUUUAAUUAAAAUAAUACCCACUACAACCUCAUACUUCCAAUACAAUCAUUACUUCCCACUAUUAUAUAAUUAAAAUAAUACUCACUACCACCAAAGAUUCUCUUUUUCUUAAUCUUUGUGAAAUACCCAAAUAGAAAGAACAAAUAGGAACAAAGGGAGUAAUUACUAUUUCUUCUGCCCUUUGAAUUUG